GCUCCUACCGAUUGAAUGGUUUAGUGAGGACUCCUGAUUGGCGCCGCCGCCCCGGCAACGGAGCAGCGGACUGCCGAAAAGUUGUUCAAACUUGAUCAUUUAGAGGAAGUAAAAGUCGUAACAAGGUUUCCGUAGGUGAACCUGCAGAAGGAUCAAUCCGCAAUACACCAUGGGAGUGGAUUGCACCAGAAGUGGUUAGUCUAACCUUCGGGAGGACGAUCACCACGGUGUGGUUCAUGACUGGGGUGAAGUCGUAACAAGGUAGCCGUAGGUGAACCUGCAGAAGGAUCA
rnacentral:misc_RNA from 1 species